CGUACAAGUGAAUGUUUCCAGUAUAAAAAAUAUUUCUCUAUGCCUUAAACAUUUAUAAUUCAAAUCGACACGACUCCGAGACAGGAAAUACAGACUAAAACCGUAGACAGAGUAACUAAUAGACCCAAUGACGAUACCUUUCUCACUUACACAAGAAAGAGAGCGAAAAUACCAUAACAAAUGCAUAAGACAAAGACACAAAUACCCAAUUUUUUGUCCCUUAGUGUGUAACCUGUUUUUCAAGAUCCGCAACUUGAGUUGCGAAACAAACUUUGACAGUUCGUGCCUUCAUCGUGCUUGGUGUUCGAAUUUUGGAUAUUAUUUAGUAAAAAAUCGAUACGAGUACAUUGAAAAGACGGUGAAAUUAUCUUAAUAUAGACAUCGAAGUAAAUAGAAUGGUGCGUUGUCGUGUUAUUGCAUGUAUAAGCGAUAGUGAGAAGAAAAUUGCCGGUGUGUCUUUUCACGCAUGAUCCAGACCUACGUAAUUAAUGGAUCGAAGUGGUAGAAAAGAUUGGAUUCUCACAAAAUAUUGUAAAAUAUGAACAAGCCAAUGAAAAAGUAAGAAAUGUGUUUCGUCAUCAAUAAUCAAUCUGCUUAUAUUUUUUGUAUCUACUAAAUUGAUUAUAAAGACAAAAGAAAAAUCUCA